rnacentral:rRNA from 1 species
AUUGAACGCUGGCGGCAGGCCUAACACAUGCAAGUCGAACGAAGCCUUCGGGCUUAGUGGCGGACGGGUGAGUAACACGUGGGAACGUACCUUUUGGUUCGGAACAACUCAGGGAAACUUGAGCUAAUACCGGAUGAGCCCUUAGGGGGAAAGAUUUAUCGCCGAAAGAGCGGCCCGCGUUAGAUUAGCUAGUUGGUGAGGUAAAGGCUCACCAAGGCAACGAUCUAUAGCUGGUCUGAGAGGAUGAUCAGCCACACUGGGACCGAGACACGGCCCAGACUCCUACGGGAGGCAGCAGUGGGGAAUCUUGCGCAAUGGGCGAAAGCCUGACGCAGCCAUGCCGCGUGAAUGAUGAAGGUCUUAGGAUUGUAAAAUUCUUUUACCAGGGACGAUAAUGACGGUACCUGGAGAAAAAGCCCCGGCUAACUUCGUGCCAGCAGCCGCAGUAAUAC